ensembl:lncRNA
AUGAGAUGCUGCCUGAAAAAUUGUCUUUGUCUCUCUCUCUCUCUCUCUCUCUCUCUCACACACACACACACACACACACACACACACACACAAGGAGAGAAGAGCAACUUUCUAGGUCAGUCAAGCAGCCUGGGAGCUGCUAAAUUUGAAUCCACCAAUCAGAGAGGCUGUGUACUUUUUCCCGCCAAAACAGGUGCAGCCGUGUUUACACACACAGAGCACAGAGACAGGAUUUCUGCACUGAAUUUCUCAUAGUGAGCAUUCCUCUCAAACAAAUGGCCAUAAUUUCCUAACCGUAGGGGCUAGAACAGUCAUUCUUACACCGUUUUGUUCAGAAGAGAUGGGGGAAUCUUAAAGUGUUGACAAUUUAUCAUUAAAAUCUGAAUUAUUAAAGAUAUUUGACUUGUAAUGCACCAUAACUGAGUAGAGGCGAAGCAAAAACUACCUUGACCUGCCCUCAAACAACGCUUUCUAACUCUAAAUCUAUUUGGAGUAUAGAUAUCAUUCUUUCACCGUAAGAGACAGCAGGCUUUGGUGAACAGUCAUGGAAAUUUUCAGGUCUCUGUGGAAAUCCAUCAAAAAGAUAUGACGAGAGAAAAAAGUGCCUCAUUUCCAGAGUUUGAAAUCUGAAGAAAUCUGAACGAAGGACGAAUUUCCUACCCUCAAACAAGUCUAACUCAUCUCAGAACGGUAAUAGGUGAGAAAGAAAUUCUUGAAUUGUGAGCGUCAGGAGUGUCUGAAGAUAUAUUGGCACAAGCCUCAUCUCUUAACUUUAAUUCGUUAAGGAGAUAUGACGAUUCGAAAAUGCCUCUCAUUACAGAAAUCAAGCGGUGAUUUUGAACAAACUCUCCAUUGACUUUGUAUGGAGAGUUUUCAGACUUUGUGUUGCUCUGAGGAGAUUUGCCAAAAUUCUAUAAAUCCCACAACAAUGAUAGUGACAUUUUCUGAAAGCCAGCAAAAAUACCUACGUUUUGAUGUAUAAUUUGUGGGAGUUGAGUGAAAAUUGAGCAAGUAGCAAGAAGUUGUUGGACAUGAAGAGAAAACUGCCAAAGGUACAGUGGCUCACUUAGAACCAACUGCAUAGCAACCAUAACAACGCAUGUAUUUUGUGGAAAAUCACAAAGAUGAAACUCAAAACUUGAAGAGGGAUAAGAUGAAAAUGGUAACAGAUAUGAAAAAGCUGAAUCAUACGUGAAUAGCCCAAUAAUUUGUGAACAUUUUAAAGUUUGAAUGGUUGUGCUAGGUGAAAGUAUGAGGAAGUAGUUAAGUUUCAAAAACAAGCAAGUUUUAGCAGAAUUGUGGAAGUUUUCCAUUCAUUUCAAUGGGACAAAUUAAAGGAAAAAAGGUUAAUAUUUUAAAAAGUAUAAUAGCAAAAAACACCAAAAUUCAUAGCCCGCAUUAGCAGAAAUAGCAGAAUAGUUUAAAAUUUGAACGGUGAAAAUCGGCUGAAAAUUGUGGAAGUAGUUAAGUGCCAAAAAACGUACGGAAGCAACUAGAAUAAAGUAUAAAGAAUAAAGAGAAACAGGAACUCAAGAGUGUGGAUGCUCCCACACAACUAGAAAAAUUUGCAUUUCCUGCGAAAAUGCAGUGUGGAUGCCUUAACGCUGAAGCUGUCUGCUGAAAAGCUGAAAAAGAUGAAAAGUUGCAAAAAGUUGUAUGGUGGUGAAAAAAAAAAAGUCACCCUGAGCAGGAUUCGAACCUGGCCCUCCUGCUUUAAGGCAUCCACACUAUUGUUUUCCUGUUUCUCUUUAUUCUUUAUUAUUAUUGUGUGGAUGCUUUAAGGCAUCCACACUAUUGUUUUCCUGUUUCUCUUUAUUGUGUGGAUGCCUUAAAGCAUCCACACAAUAAUAAUAAAGAAUAAAGAGAAACAGGAAAACAAUAGUGUGGAUGCCUUAAAGCAUCCACACAAUAAAGAAUAAAGAGAAACAGGAACUCAAUAGAGUGGAUGCCUUUGAGGGCAAAUGCGGAUGCCCUCAAAGGGCAUCCACUCAAUAAAGAGAAACAGGAACUCAAUAGUGUGGAUGUCUUAAAGCAUCCACACAAUAAAGUAGGAUAAUAAUAAUAAAGAAUAAAGAGAAACAGGAACUCAAUAGUGUGGAUGCCUUAAAGCAUCCACACAAUUAAUCUGACCCUCCUCUUCUACCUCUUCAUAGUUUAACAUCAAUUCUGCGUGCAUGCCUUGUGAUCCUGGCACUACACCAAUUUUUAAUUUCUCCAUGCUGUCUCUCCCUAGGAGGUUGACUGGACAGGAUGGAUCAUAUAUACAUUGAUUUUUACAGCUCCUGCCACUUUCUUUAUGCACUAGCAGAAGCCCUUCUGUUAGAGAUUUUACACUAGUGUGACCUGAUGCAGACUUAACUGUCAGGGUGUCAGGUUUUUAGGUUUUUGAUUUAGCACAGUUUUGCAUGCACCUGUGUCACAUAACAUAGUCAUGGGUUGGCCAUUUACAUGAAUUUUUAGUGUGGGUUUGUCUUCUAACAGUGUGACUAGUUCAUACACAUUAAACACUUCUGUGUCAUCCUGUUUUUCCUCACUUCUUUGCUCUCUGUCUAGUCAAUCUUCAUUUCUUCCUGUUAUUUUCUUUCCUGAUCUACAGUCUCUAGAAAAGUGUCCUUCCUUU